GAAAGCUAUCUGCUAGGAAUGCCGAGGCCCUCAUCUGGGCCCAGACGACUUGUGGCAGCCCCCACAGGCAUUUUCCUGAACAGAGCCAGUGUUGUGACUGGAUCAGCUCUCGUGGUUCUUAGGAUGAUUGCGAGAUGCGCCCCAGCAACCACCAUCAGAGAACUCGGAAUAACAAGAUUUGUUACUCACAGGUCCUGGAGGGUAUGUGGUGGGCCCAAGUGCCACGCAACAAGAUCUCAGGGAGAGAGAAAGAGAAAGACUGUGGGCCUGGGGCUCUGCCUUUAUGGGGGUCCAAGGGUGGAAGCCUAGGGUUUCACAGGUUCACUCUUUAUUUGCAAAUUUAAAACAUAAGUGUGAGAAUGAGGGUGUGGGAAGGGAAAACGGGUCACUCAAGCAGUCAGUUAUCUAGGAUACCCAGGAUUCUAAAAGGGGAAUUUCAAAGGUGGGGCAGCCUGGUUUCUUAUUGAGUUGUUUUACUAACAGCUGUGUCAUACAGCUGUCAAUGUGUGUAUUCGAGGUGAAUGGCCUUGCAAUGAUGCCUCAGCAAUGAAAAGCUUGAGGUCAGGAACGCAAUGUGAGACGCAACUGCAGGUGUCAGACAGACAGAACGAGGAGUUGGAAAACCAGAAGAGCAGAGGAGAUGCUGAGAAAGACAAGACUGCUAGCAGGUGUUCCAAGCACAGAGAGCGCAUUUGAAGGCUACUGCUUGGCUUUUGCUUAUGUGUGAACUGGGGGCCAGUUGUCUUACAAGAAUGGUAAAUAAAGGCAAGGAGUUUUUAACCAA
rnacentral:lncRNA from 1 species